rnacentral:rRNA from 1 species
GAUGAACGCUGGCGGCGUGCCUAACACAUGCAAGUCGAACGAUGAAACCGCCCUCGGGCGGACAUGAAGUGGCGAACGGGUGAGUAACACGUGACCAACCUGCCCCUUGCUCCGGGACAACCUUGGGAAACCGAGGCUAAUACCGGAUACUCCUCGCCCCCCUCCUGGGGGGCCCGGGAAAGCCCAGACGGCAAGGGAUGGGGUCGCGGCCCAUUAGGUAGUAGGCGGGGUAACGGCCCACCUGGCCCGCGAUGGGUAGCCGGGUUGAGAGACCGACCGGCCACAUUGGGACUGAGAUACGGCCCAGACUCCUACGGGAGGCAGCAGCGGGGAAUUUUGCGCAAUGGGGGCAACCCUGACGCAGCAACGCCGCGUGCGGGACGACGGCCUUCGGGUUGUAAACCGCUUUCAGCAGGGAAGAAAUUCGACGGUAC